rnacentral:rRNA from 1 species
GAUGCCAGCUAGCGAUCCGCCAAAGUUCCUCCGAUGACUUGGUGGGCAGCUUCCGGGAAACCAAAGCAUUUGGGUUCCGGGGGAAGUAUGGUUGCAAAGCUGAAACUUAAAGGAAUUGACGGAAGGGCACCACCAGGAGUGGAGCCUGCGGUUAAAUUUGACUCAACACGGGAAACCUCACCAGGCCCGGACACCGGAAGGAUUGACAGAUUGAGAGCUCUUUCUUGAUUCGGUGGGUGGUGGUGCAUGGCCGUUCUUAGUUGGUGGAGCGAUUUGUCUGGUUAAUUCCGAUAACGAACGAGACUCUAGCCUACUAAAUAGACGUACUUUAUUACCGGCAUCUCAAGGCCCAUCGGCUGUAUUGUUACUGAAUGUUAUUUGUAUAUUUUGUUUCUUAUAUAUAUUUAUAAUAUGUAUGA